rnacentral:lncRNA from 1 species
AUGCCAGCCAAUUCUUUAGCAAUACCAUGUCCCUUAAAUUACCGUAAUCAGGUCAAAUCAUUUUCCUCUGCCUCAAUUCAAUGGCUAGAAUAUCUCUCGUACACGCAAGGUGUUUUUAUCAGACAUGCGCUAAAUCAAGGAGAAAAAAAGCUGGGUGCUUAUUAUUUAGAUGGAUAUGCCCUAAUUAAUGAUAAACCAUAUGUCUGGGAAUUUCUGGGUUGUUACUUUCAUGGGUGUGUUAAGUGUUUUUCAAAUCAGGCCGACAUUAAUCCGUUGUUAGACCUAACUUUUGCAGAGCUAAACAGCUGCACUGAAGAAAAACUGGUUAAAUUGAGAACUGAACAUAACGUGUGUCUUGUUACAAUCUGGGAGCAUGAGUGGACCGAAUUGAAACGUGCUGAUGUGAGUGUAAUCAACUUCCUCAAACAUUACGAACCGCCAGAACCUUUGAACCCCCGCCAUGCCCUCUUUGGAAGGCGUACAAGCCCUGCACAGCUGCGCUGCAGUGCAGGCCCUGGGGAGAGAAUCAGUUAUGUGGAUGUUACCUCGCUGUAUCCGUUUGUAAAUAGCACCUGUAGUUACCCCUUAGGGCAUCCUCAAAUAAUCUUUCGAAAUUUUCAGCACCCUAAAAACUACUUUGGGUUUAUCAAAGCGGUUGUAUACCCACCCAGAGCACUCUAUUUUCCAGUUUUACCCUAUAAAACUAAGUCAGGAAAGCUUCUCUUUACCCUCUGCCGCACCUGUGCCGAAAUGAACAACCAACAGGGGGCGUGUAGCCAUAGCAACGAGGAGAGAGCCCUCAAAGGGGUUUGGACCACUGUAGAAUUUAAUCUUGCAUUAGAAAAGGGGUAUCAAAUAAGUAGAAUCACCGAGGUGUGGCACUUUGAGAAACAGAGUAACACAAUAUUCACAGACUAUGUACAUCAUUUCCUGCGCAAAAAACAAGAAGCUUCAGGCUACCCAUCAGAUGUUGUAACUGAGGAGGAUAAACAGCUUUACAUUAAAGACUACCAGGCUAAGCAAGGCAUCACUUUAGACCCUGAAAACAUAAAACUAAACCCAGCUAAAAGACAAAUGGCCAAACUGUGUUUAAACUCUUUUUGGGGAAAAUUUGGUCAGAGAAAUAAUCUCACACAGAGCAAACUGGUGAGGGACCCCGAGGAAUUCUUUAAUCUGAUGUUUUCUCCAAAAUACAAAGUGACCUAUUUCUCUUUUGUCAGUGACGAUGUAGCGCUUAUUCAAUGGUGUUAUGGCAAUCUAUGUACCCCAUUGCCAAACUCCACAGAUAACAUCUUCAUUGCGGCCUUCACUACUUCAUAUGGGCGUAUGAAACUCUACAGUUAUUUGGAUCAGUUGCAGGAGAGAGCAAUUUACUACGAUACUGACAGUGUUGUUUAUCUCACCAAACAAAAUCAAUCUGAACUAGAAUUAGGUAGAUAUUUGGGCGACCUCACCAAUGAACUAGAGCAGGAUGAUUUCAUUACAGAGUUUGUUGCAGCUGGACCCAAAAGCUAUGGCUAUAUGACCAAAAACGGUAAAGUUGUCUUGAAAGCAAAAGGGAUCACACAAACACACGAUGUCUGCGAAAGGGUCAACUUUGAAUCUGUGAAAAACCUGGUUGACAAUUACAUUGAUAACAGUGAAGGGGGGUCUACACUUGAGGCACCACAGCACACUAUCCUUCGUAAUAAAGCUGGGUUUGCACUGAAAAAAUUCAUCAUUCCCCAAAAAAUUCCGGGUUGUUUAUGA